GACAAGGUCUUAACAUUCAGGGUCCAGCAUAGAUAAAAACCCCGGCUAUCGGGGUUUUUUGUUAUCUGAUUCUCGUGUAUGAGCAGUAAUCACUGUUAAUACAUCGAAGAUUUGGUCUGUUUGCUUGGAAUUGAAAUUGGGCUCAUAGCCCUUUUUUU
rnacentral:sRNA from 1 species